rnacentral:rRNA from 1 species
UAGGGAAUAUUAGUUAAUGUGCGAAAGCGCGAACUAGCAACGCCGCGUGUGCGAUGAAGGCCUUCGGGUCGUAAAGCACUUUUCCGAGGGACGAGGAAGGACGGUACCUCGGGAAUAAGCAUCGGCUAACUACGUGCCAGCAGCCGCGGUAAAACGUAGGAUGCGAGCGUUAUCCGGAUUUACUGGGCGUAAAGCGCGUGUAGGCGGUUUGGUAAGUUGGAUGUGAAGGCUCCUGGCUUAACUGGGAGAGGUCGUUCAAUACUGCCGAGCUAGAGGAUGGUAGAGAGAAGUGAAAUUACGAGUGUAGUGGUGAAGUGCGUAGAUAU